GUAGGGAAUCUUCCGCAAUGGACGAAAGUCUGACGGAGCAACGCCGCGUGAGUGAAGAAGGUUUUCGGAUCGUAAAACUCUGUUGUUAGAGAAGAACAAGGAUGAGAGUAACUGCUCGUCCCUUGACGGUAUCUAACCAGAAAGCCAUGGCUAACUACGUGCCAGCAGCCGCGGUAAUACGUAGAUGGCAAGCGUUGUCCGGAUUUAUUGGGCGUAAAGCGAGCGCAGGCGGUUCUUUAAGUCUGAUGUGAAAGCCCCUGGCUCAACCAGGGAGGGUCAUUGGAAACUGGAGAACUUGAGUGCAGAAGAGGAAAGUGGAAUUCCAUGUGUAGCGGUGAAAUGCGUAGAUAUAUGGAGGAACACCAGUGGCGAAGGCGACUUUCUGGUCUGUAACUGACGCUGAGGCUCGAAAGCAUGGGGAGCAA
rnacentral:rRNA from 1 species